rnacentral:rRNA from 1 species
UACGUAGGGGGCGAGCGUUGUUCGGAAUUACUGGGCGUAAAGCGCACGUAGGCGGAUUUGUAAGUCAGGGGUGAAAUCCCGGGGCUCAACCUCGGAACUGCCUUUGAUACUGCAAGUCUCGAGUCCGAUAGAGGUGAGUGGAAUUCCUAGUGUAGAGGUGAAAUUCGUAGAUAUUAGGAAGAACACCAGUGGCGAAGGCGGCUCACUGGAUCGGUACUGACGCUGAGGUGCGAAAGCGUGGGGAGCAAACAGG